rnacentral:misc_RNA from 1 species
UAUCAUCUUCUUGAAGCUUACGCCGGUAAUCUUGUUCAAAUCUGUCCAAGGCAUGCAUUUCAUGAUAUAAUUCAGCUGUGUAUUGAACCAAAUUCAUCAAUUGCUGUAUCACCAUAUCUGCAUCUUCCUUCAAUUGCUUUUCAGGUGUGAGCUCUGAACCCAACUUUUCAAAGUAACGGUCCAAGUUGUGCCAUUGAGGAUC